GACGAACGCUGGCGGCGUGCUUAACACAUGCAAGUCGAACGGAAAGACCCUGCUUUUGUGGGGUGCUCGAGUGGCGAACGGGUGAGUAACACGUGAGUAACCUGCCCUUGACUUUGGGAUAACUUCAGGAAACUGGGGCUAAUACCGGAUAGGAGCUCCUGCUGCAUGGUGGGGGUUGGAAAGUUUCGGCGGUUGGGGAUGGACUCGCGGCUUAUCAGCUUGUUGGUGGGGUAGUGGCUUACCAAGGCUUUGACGGGUAGCCGGCCUGAGAGGGUGGACGGCCACAUUAGGACUGAGAGACGGCCCAGACUCCUACAGGAGGCAGCAGUGGGGAAUAUUGCACAAUGGGCGGAAGCCUGAUGCAGCAACGCCGCGUGCGGGAUGACGGCCUUCGGGUUGUAAACCGCUUUCGCCUGUGACGAAGCGUGAGUGACGGUAAUGGGUAAAGAAGCACCGGCUAACUACGUG
rnacentral:rRNA from 1 species